rnacentral:rRNA from 1 species
UACGUAGGGUGCGAGCGUUACUCGGAAUCACUGGGCUUAAAGGGUGCGUAGGCGGCGCGGCAAGUUGGGUGUGAAAGCCCUCGGCUCAACCGAGGAAUUGCGCCCAAAACUACCGUGCUUGAGGGAGACAGUGGUGAGUGGAACUAAGGGUGGAGCGGUGAAAUGCGUUGAUAUCCUUAGGAACACCGGUGGCGAAAGCGACUCACUGGGUCUCUACUGACGCUGAGGCACGAAAGCUAGGGGAGCGAACGGG